CGGUGGCACUAAUGAUCAUUUUACAAUUGUUUCAUGGAGAGAGAACAAAUGUUGUUGUUUGAGAGAAAUCAUAAAAGUAAAAACUAUAUAAUUUCAAAUCCAAUUAUAUUUUAAGGAGUACUAAGGAAUUAUUUUUGAUUUUAUUUGCUACACGUGCAGACAAUCACAAGCAAAAUUUACGCAUACUAAAGUUAGAAGAGGGAAACAC
rnacentral:lncRNA from 1 species